rnacentral:tRNA from 1 species
GCCGGAGUGGCGGAACUGGCAGACGCACCGGACUCAAAAUCCGGCGGGCCGCGAGGUCUGUGAGGGUUCGAAUCCCUCCUCCGGCACCA